UCCAUCGUGGUGCAGUGGUAGCACGCCAGACAAAAGACCGCUUGCGCCGCAUGUCUCACGAGGCAUGCCGCACGACUGUUGUUUCUCCCGGUCUUUGACCUGUUGAGCUUACGCGGUGCGCGUAGCGCGCGAGGCACGGCAGUCUGGUACCCGAGUUCGACUCUCGGCGAUGGAG